UUGCUUUUCGGAACUACGAUAAUGGUUGAGAGGGACAGAGGAGGGCAUUCGUAUCACUGCGUGAGAGGUGACAUUCUUGGACCGUAGCGAGACGCCCGACUGCGAAAGCAUUUGCCACGAAUGUCUUCAUU
rnacentral:ncRNA from 1 species